AGCUCAAUUGGUAGAGCACUGGUCUCCAAAACCAGCGGUUGGGGGUUCAAGUCCCUCC
rnacentral:tRNA from 1 species